rnacentral:rRNA from 1 species
AGACGUCUACAUUAGACUACCCCCGUAGUCCCAGCCGUAAACUAUGCGCGUUAGGUGUAUCGGUGACCACGAGUUACCGAGGUGCCGAAGGGAAACCGUGAAACGUGCCGCCUGGGAAGUACGGUCGCAAGGCUGAAACUUAAAGGAAUUGGCGGGGGAGCACAACAACGGGUGGAGCCUGCGGUUUAAUUGGACUCAACGCCGGACAACUCACCGGGGACGACAGCAAUAUGUAGGCCAGGCUGAAGACCUUGCCUGAAUCGCUG